GAUGAACGCUGGCGGCGUGCCUAAUACAUGCAAGUCGAGCGAACGGACGAGAAGCUUGCUUCUCUGAUGUUAGCGGCGGACGGGUGAGUAACACGUGGAUAACCUACCUAUAAGACUGGGAUAACUUCGGGAAACCGGAGCUAAUACCGGAUAAUAUUUUGAACCGCAUGGUUCAAAAGUGAAAGACGGUCUUGCUGUCACUUAUAGAUGGAUCCGCGCUGCAUUAGCUAGUUGGUAAGGUAACGGCUUACCAAGGCAACGAUGCAUAGCCGACCUGAGAGUGGACUAGGCAGAAGUGGAAGGUAGACACGGAACGGACUCCAAGGGAGGGCGGCAGGGGGGAUGAUUGAGCAGGGGGCGAAAGCCGAACGACGCAGCGCGGGGUGAGUGAGAAGGGUCUACGGAUCGUAAAACUUUUUGAUUGGGGAAAAACAUAUGGGAAAGAAACUGUGCGACUCUUGAGGGUACUUAAGAAGAAAGCACGGGCUAACAAGGG
rnacentral:rRNA from 1 species